rnacentral:tRNA from 1 species
GCGGAUGUGGUGGAAUUGGUAGACACGCCAGAUUUAGGUUCUGGUGCCGCAAGGCGUGGGGGUUCAAGUCCCUUCAUCCGUACCA